rnacentral:rRNA from 1 species
UACGUAGGGUGCGAGCGUUGUCCGGAAUUACUGGGCGUAAAGAGCUCGUAGGUGGUUUGUCGCGUUGUUCGUGAAAACUCACAGCUUAACUGUGGGCGUGCGGGCGAUACGGGCAGACUGGAGUACUGCAGGGGAGACUGGAAUUCCUGGUGUAGCGGUGAAAUGCGCAGAUAUCAGGAAGAACACCCGUGGCGAAGGCGGUUCUCUGGAACGCAACUGACGCUGAGACGCGAAAGCGUGGGGAGCAAACAGG